rnacentral:lncRNA from 1 species
UGAGCAGAAUGGUUCAAGGAGGAGCAGAUGGAAACAGCUGCCAACAGAUGAGUACUGGAAUGGAUUCAAGCCACACUGCUUGCUGGAACUUGAGAAUUUUUGAUGGCCUGAGCAUUCCCAACCACAGUGUAUGGGCCUCCAGGUGCUGUCUGAAGACUGUGAAUAUUUUUGCUGUUUCUGCAUCAACAAGCCUUACAUUAUGGAAAGAUGAUAAAAUAGAACAUGGAGUUCACCAAGCAAUGAUUUCAGGAAGAAAUGUAGUUAAAUUUUUUCCCAGCAGAUGUGGCUGUUGGACCAGAAAAGGCUCAAGUGAAUCAGUGGGAGACCUUUACAAAGUUGGACUUCGAUGAAGAUGCUGAUUGGCCAGUCCUGCCUCAGAGUCUCCUCUGAUCCAUGGGAGCCUGGGCUGCUCCACAGAAUGGUCCUGUGCCUUGGCACUGAUUUAUCAUCCACCAUUACCCCAAGCUCAUGGAUGAGAAAGGAAUACCCAUGGCUGCUACCAUUCCUGCCCCUCUGGCUUCAG